AGUGAACGCUGGCGGUAGGCCUAACACAUGCAAGUCGAACGGCAGCACAGUAAGAGCUUGCUCUUACGGGUGGCGAGUGGCGGACGGGUGAGGAAUACAUCGGAAUCUACUUUUUCGUGGGGGAUAACGUAGGGAAACUUACGCUAAUACCGCAUACGACCUACGGGUGAAAGCAGGGGAUCUUCGGACCUUGCGCGAUUGAAUGAGCCGAUGUCGGAUUAGCUAGUUGGCGGGGUAAAGGCCCACCAAGGCGACGAUCCGUAGCUGGUCUGAGAGGAUGGACAGCCACUGUGGGAUGGAGAGACGGCGCAGAGCCGUAAGGGAGCCACCAGUGGGGAAGUGUGGAUAAUGGGCGAAAGCUUGAUCCAGCAAUGAUGGGGGCGGAAAGAAGGCAGUCGGGUCCGAGACCCCUUUGGUCAGGAAAGAAAGACUGGCCCCGAAUAAGGUCGUGGCAUGAAGGGAACGGAAGAAGAAGAUCCGGCUCUAUACGGG
rnacentral:rRNA from 1 species